GAUGAAGAACGUAGCGAAAUGCGAUACGUAAUGUGAAUUGCAAAUUCAGUGAAUCAUCGAGUCUUUGAACGCACAUUGCGCCCCCUGGUAUUCCGGGGGGCAUGCCUGUCCGAGCGUCAUUGCUGCCCUCAAGCACGGCUUGUGUGUUGGGCCCCGUCCUCCGAUCCCGGGGAACGGGCCCGAAAGGCAGCGGCGGCACCGCGUCCGGUCCUCGAGCGUAUGGGGCUUUGUCACCCGCUCUGUAGGCCCGGCCGGCGCUUGCCGAUCAACCCAAAUUUUUAUCCAGGUUGACCUCGGAUCAGGUAGGGAUACCCGCUGAACUUAAGCAUAUCAAUAAGCGGAGGA
rnacentral:misc_RNA from 1 species